rnacentral:rRNA from 1 species
AGAGUUUGAUCCUGGCUCAGGACGAACGCUGGCGGCACGCCUAACACAUGCAAGUCGAACGGAGAUGAUUUGAGUUUACUUAGAUCAUCUUAGUGGCGGACGGGUGAGUAACACGUGAGCAACCUGCCUUUGAGAGAGGGAUAGCUUCUGGAAACGGAUGGUAAUACCUCAUAACAUACAGAUACCGCAUGGUGACUGUAUCAAAGAUUUAUCACUCAAGGAUGGGCUCGCGUCUGAUUAGAUAGUUGGUGAGGUAACGGCUCACCAAGUCGACGAUCAGUAGCCGGACUGAGAGGUUGAACGGCCACAUUGGGACUGAGACACGGCCCAGACUCCUACGGGAGGCAGCAGUGGGGAAUAUUGCACAAUGGGGGAAACCCUGAUGCAGCGAUGCCGCGUGGAGGAAGAAGGUUUUCGGAUUGUAAACUCCUGUCUUAAAGGACGAUAAUGACGGUACUUUAGGAGGAAGCUCCGGCUAACUACGUGCCAGCAGCCGCGGUAAUACGUAGGGAGCGAGCGUUGUCCGGAAUUACUGGGUGUAAAGGGAGCGUAGGCGGGACGGCAAGUCAGAUGUGAAAUACAUGGGCUCAACCCAUGGGCUGCAUUUGAAACUGCUGUUCUUGAGUGAAGUAGAGGUAAGCGGAAUUCCUGGUGUAGCGGUGAAAUGCGUAGAUAUCAGGAGGAACACCGGUGGCGAAGGCGGCUUACUGGGCUUUUACUGACGCUGAGGCUCGAAAGCGUGGGGAGCAAACAGGAUUACAUACCCUGGUAGUCCACGCGGUAAACGAUGAUGCUCGCUGUUUGCGUCUGACGUAAGCGGCCAAGCGAAAGCGUUAAGCAUCCAACCUGGGGAGUACGCCGGCAACGGUGAAACUCAAUGGAAUUGACGGGGGCCCGCACAAGCGGAGGAACAUGUGGUUUAAUUCGACGAUACGCGAGGAACCUUACCCGGGCUUGAACUGCAGGCUAACGAUUCAGAGAUGAUGAGGCCCUUCGGGGCGCCUGUGGAGGUGCUGCAUGGUUGUCGUCAGCUCGUGCCGUGAGGUGUCGGCUUAAGUGCCAUAACGAGCGCAACCCUUGUUCGUAGUUGCCAUCGGGUUAUGCCGGGCACUCUGCGAAGACUGCCUCCGUAAGGAGUGAGGAAGGUGGGGAUGACGUCAAAUCAGCACGGCCCUUACGUCCGGGGCUACACACGUGUUACAAUGGCAUGUACAGAAAGCUGGGUGUAUGCAAAUACGCUCGAAUCCCUAAAACAUGUCUCAGUUCGGACUGGGGUCUGCAACCCGACCCCACGAAGCUGGAUUCGCUAGUAAUCGCGCAUCAGCCAUGGCGCGGUGAAUACGUUCCCGGGCCUUGUACACACCGCCCGUCAAGCCAUGAAAGCCGGGGGCGCCUAAAGUCCGUGACCGCGAGGGUCGGCCUAGGGUGAAACCGGUGAUUGGGGCUAAGUCGUAACAAGGUA